AUUGAACGCUGGCGGCAGGCCUAACACAUGCAAGUCGAGCGGCAGCGGGAAAGUAGCUUGCUACUUUUGCCGGCGAGCGGCGGACGGGUGAGUAAUGCCUGGGAAAUUGCCCAGUCGAGGGGGAUAACAGUUGGAAACGACUGCUAAUACCGCAUACGCCCUACGGGGGAAAGCAGGGGACCUUCGGGCCUUGCGCGAUUGGAUAUGCCCAGGUGGGAUUAGCUAGUUGGUGGGGUAAUGGCUCACCAAGGCGACGAUCCCUAGCUGGUCUGAGAGGAUGAUCAGCCACACUGGAACUGAGACACGGUCCAGACUCCUACGGGAGGCAGCAGUGGGGAAUAUUGCACAAUGGGGGAAACCCUGAUGCAGCCAUGCCGCGUGUGUGAAGAAGGCCUUCGGGUUGUAAAGCACUUUCAGCGAGGAGGAAAGGUCAGUAGCUAAUAUCUGCUGGCUGUGACGUUACUCGCAGAAGAAGCACCGGCUAACUCCGUGCCAGCCGCCGCAGUAAAAC
rnacentral:rRNA from 1 species